GGUUUCAAUAGUGGCUUUAACCCCAUUUAGUAGAGUUGGGACUUCGCCCGCAGAUUUUUUUGUGGCAGAAAAUGCAGCAUCCACCGGAGUGAAAUGUGCCGUGGAAGAACAGUUCUGCACUAGUUCUACAAACCUGACGCAGACGCACGUCUACGCUAGAAAGGAGUGUCAGCACCAAUAUAAUGAAGCUAUAGGACUCUCUAGAGAUGGUAGCAUGAGCUCAUUUGGUAAGUUGCCUUAGGUUUAUUGUUUGUCAGACAAGUCCCUAAUGGCUGGCAAUGCCCUCCUCUAGAGUUUUAUUGCCACUAUAUGUUAAUGAUGAGUGAAAGAUGAUUGUAUUUUUUCAGCUGCAUUUUUUAUUGUUGCUCCUCCAUUUAACUUGAUGUGGUAUAUCUUCAGCUUUUGUUUUUCUUUUCCACAUAUAUUCCAAAUAUACCUAUUUGCUUGCACAUUCCUCACAUUCUACACUAUAGACUUUGGGCAUUGACCCAAGUUACAUCCGCAUAAAGAUGUGUUAAUGAUGUGUUAACUAUAUGUAAAGAUGUGUUAACCCCCGGUGUAGACAGUGCUAUGUCAAUGGGAAGGCUUCUCCUGUCAAGAUAGCUUUACCACCUUUUGGG